rnacentral:rRNA from 1 species
ACUGUACGAGUUUGAUCCUGGCUCAGAUUGAACGCUGGCGGCGUGCUUUACACAUGCAAGUCGAACGGUAACAGGGAGCUUGCUCCGCUGACGAGUGGCGAACGGGUGAGUAAUGCAUCGGAACGUACCCAGUCGUGGGGGAUAACGUAGCGAAAGUUACGCUAAUACCGCAUACGUCCUGAGGGAGAAAGCGGGGGACCGUAAGGCCUCGCGCGAUUGGAGCGGCCGAUGUCGGAUUAGCUAGUUGGUAGGGUAAAGGCCUACCAAGGCGACGAUCCGUAGCGGGUCUGAGAGGAUGAUCCGCCACACUGGGACUGAGACACGGCCCAGACUCCUACGGGAGGCAGCAGUGGGGAAUUUUGGACAAUGGGCGAAAGCCUGAUCCAGCCAUGCCGCGUGAGUGAAGAAGGCCUUCGGGUUGUAAAGCUCUUUCAGGUGGAAAGAAAACGCAUAGGUUAAUACCUUGUGCGGAUGACGGUACCAUCAGAAGAAGCACCGGCUAACUACGUG